CCAGACCUUAACUCUCAGAGAGAAGGAUCAGUUGGCCAAGCCACUGGGGUUUAGACGAGCAGAAGUCUCUGGGCAGCCACCUCCGCAAAACCCCAUAAGGUAAUAGCAGGGAGGUUUUCAGAGGCUGUGUCCAAGCUGUCUUCACUGAGGAUGGAAGGUGUCCUCAAGUCCGCACUGGCCGUGAGACCUCUCAGGAAGAGGCUGGGGCAGGUGAGCCUUGCUGACAGACUUGCCUGGAGGCGCUGAGAUGCCGGCUCGGUGCACACCCAGCGCCCGCUGCGCAGGCAGGGGCAUCUGAGUUCAGAUGCCCAGAACCCACAUCAAGCCAGGUGAAGAAGGAAUCUCAAUGCGGAACUCUAUAUGGCCCCAUCUGCUCAAAUGACAUCACUCCCUGCCCCAAACAUCACGUCAUCGGAGCUUACAUGAGAAGCGGAGAUGUCCCGGGAAACACUGUCUGCAGAAAGAGAGGAAAUGAUCAUUUCAAGGGAACUAAACAGGACUUCUUUUGUAUUUUCCACAUAGUACUCAUUAUUAUCAAUCUUAAAACCCAAA